UAUCUCUCUUUUUUUAUUAAUUUGGAAAAAUAUAUAAAAGGGAGAUUUCAUUUUCUGCUGAAUAGAUAUCUGCUCUCUCUAUUCUGUGGCUUUGAAGAUGCAGACCACUCCAGAAAAGUUGAACGUACGUGUAAAAUAGGAUUGGUUGAUUUUGGAUUUCUGUAACUGGGGUAUGCUUGAUCGGGAUAAAUCCUUCAAAAGAAGGAGAGAAUGAUGUGAAUCCGGGUGUCCGAAAGACGAAUCUAAGAACCGGAUUUGAGGACAAAUCCUUUCAAAAAGAAUGAGAGGAUGAUGUGAAUCCGGAAAGCGCAAAACCAAUAGAAGGAACAAAGGCAUCCAAUGAACCACACCGGAGCUGGGGUCUGUUUCAAACAUAAAUAUACCUAUCAAGAUGGUGUCCAAAUUCUCUUCUAAGACCACCAUUAUCUUCAUCGUCAAAAGAGCUUCGCGUGAGUAUCUUACACGCCUCAAUCGGAGCCCGGAUGAGGAAGUUAUGAUCGUUUUAAGAAAACCGCGCAAUGCAGAAAGAAACACGUGGGCGGGUGUUUUGCCAACCCAAAAACACCCGGUCGGGUUUUUUUGCCGAGAAAUCAGUUUUUGUCCAGAAACUUCACCCGGGCGGGUGAAAUGAGCCGUGGGAAUCACCCGGUCAAGUGUUUUGUCCGAAAUGUGACUUUUUGACCAAGACUUGUUUUGUUUUGCUUUUUUUUAACUCCUAGUAUAAAUACUCUUGCUAGGGUUCAUUUUAAGUAGCUUUUGAAUAUUUGUUAGAGACAACUUCUCCAUAUUUGAGAGCUCACCUUCUUCAUCUUUUGAAGACUUAUCAAAUUCCUUCGGGUUGCAUUCGAUCUUUUGCCGGGCUAAGGUUGAUUGUAAAGGUAUGCUUGCUAGUUCUUGUGUUGCUAGUUUGUGGAGCCAUUAGGUGUUUGUAUGGGAAAGUGCCUUUGAGAUUUCUUUCUUGUUCUUUACCUAAAUCAUAACACUAAUCCAUCCUCUAUCCUUUUAUCCAUUUUUCUUGUUCCAUUUCUUGGUUUAUCUUGUUUAUUUGUUGGGUUUAUUUACAAGAAUAAGUCAAGGACAAAUUCAUUAGUUUUCAAUCUAGAAGAUUCACAUUAUCACCACUAAUUAAUUAUUCUCCUUUUUUCACUCUCUUUCUCCCCAUCUCUUCGCUAUCGCCGUCAUCGCCUUAUUGUCAUCUUCUUUAUCAAUCAUCACCCCCUAUUUGUCUUCCUCUCUCUGUCUCUCUCCAUGUGCUCUAUAAUGCAACGGUCAUUACGCCACCUUCGCCUUACUACCUCGCCGUCAUCUUUACCUUUGCCCUUGCCCUCGUGCCAUCACUUUGUCUUCUCUUUUAGUCAUAUCUCUUUUACCUGAUACGUGCAUCUUUUGGUCCGAAAUGUGUGCGUUUGUUGCUUGAUAUUUUGCUUUUUUGGAUUAUGGAAUUGUGGUGGUGGUGGCAGUGGGCAUGACAAUAUACUAAUAAUCAUGUUUAUGCUGCUUGUAUUGUAAAACUAAAUUUGUUGUAAUAACGAAAUUAUUUAUCGCAUGGUUAGUCAAUUGUCAUUAUUUGUAAAAAAAACUCGAUAAUGGAUCAAAUAAACUUUUUUCUACGUUGUAGAUUGAUUGGUAGACUCAAGCUUACAUAUUCUAUCGUGUAUGUGUCGAUUAGAAGUCACUUCCUAUCUUGGAUGAUUGAUGACACUAGAAUGUGGUAUAUCACUUAAUGGAUCACGUUGUUGGGUGGUACAAAGAUCGCUGAAGUUAUUCAUUUUUAGAUCUGUAUAAGAAUAUAGAGCAUAUUGCAUUGGUCAUACACUACUUUGAUUUGUCAAUAUAUGCAAGUUUUCGUCACCUAAUACCAAGUUAUCUUGGGUCGUGUUGAUCAACA